CUAGAGUUUAUAGACAGUUUUCAAGCCAUAAGAAAAUAUGCGUAGACUGGAGGUUGAAUACAGGCUGCACGAAGUCAGCGAGGCAAAUCGCAGAUAACUAAACAAUGACUUAUUUUUGAAUGUUAAAAUGAUGAGGUAAUACUAUUGUUCAUAGAUACAAUUUGAUAUGUAAAUCUACCCAUGUUUGAUCCAAAGGAUAACAAAAUUCUGUCAAUUUCAUCUUUUACAACAUAUGUUUAAGCAAAGGUAUUCUUUCAACCUUCUUGGAGUAGCAAUAUUGCCAGUACAUAAAGGUCAACCAUACUGCAAAAAGUUGGAAGAUCUCCCUUUCUGAACCACUAACCUACUCUGCAUUUACUGGGUUGAAUGUCCUAGUCUGGUUCUUGCCGAGGCUACAUGACUCCUGCGUAUAUAAGUGCCAUAAACAUCAGUUUUGGGGAUACCUAACUGCAAGCAUGAACAAUAGUAGAAAAAAGUGGAAAGCAGAAGAAAGGGAAACUGACAUGAUGGGUUAAGCACAUGACUGCUAGAAGAAGACAAACAAUUUAAGCGAUUGGAAGACUGAUUUAUGAAAUAAAAAUGAAGAUGGAAUUGGAGGAUGAAGCUACUUUUAUAAAAAAAAAAUAAAGGAUUGGAAGCAAGAAUAUGGUAGGUUGGCUAACUAAAGAGCAAAUAACACAUACCACGUCACACAAGGACCCACUAAUUAGAUGGUGAACCAGCCAACUAUUCCUUUGCAAACUGCAAGCUUUACAUUGAAUGUCACUUAAAUAGGAAAAGAACAGAAGAAUACAGAAAACAAUAAUUCCACCUAAGUCUUAGCACAACUCUGUUGACUUCCUGAACCAGUGGCAAGAGUGGCAGAAUUUGAAGUUGCUGGUAUAGACUUAAAAGCUCCCAAAGCUUCCAGGAAGAACCUCUUAUUGGGGACAAUACCAUCUCUAUCCAUAUGUUUUAGCAGUUUCUGAACAAGCUCCUUCAUGUUGGCUUUAGUGUAAGCCUUAUAAAGGAGUUUAUAUGUUGAUGAAUCAGGUAGCACCCGAAAACUUCGUGCACUGUCAAAUAGUAAAUCUGCUUCCAUGGGCAAACCAUUCAUACAGUAAACAUCAAGCAUGGCAUUUAAGGUUGAAACUUUGAUCUCCUUUCCAGAUUCAACCAUAUCAUCAAAAAUAUCCCUAGCAUUUGAAACAGAGUCACAAAAUCCAUACAUCAUGAUAAGACUCUCAUAUGUGAUGAAACUUGGUGUGUAUUUCAUUUUGGUCAUCUUUUGAAAAACACCCUCUGCUUUCUCUUUCUGCCGUGCCUUCCCAUAGUUCAUUAUCAUGGAAUUGAAAGUAGGCAAAGUUGGUUUCUCUUUGGAAUGCAACAGGCUCUUAAAAACCUGCUCCAUCUUAUCAAAAUCUUGUUUCUUUCCAUAAGAGUCAAUCAGCAAAUUAAAUGUAAUAAUAUCAGGUUUACAUUGAUUACUUUUCAUCCGAGAAAGUACAGAUUCCAUUUCUCUUAUCAUUCCAUUUUUGCCAUAGGCAUCCAUCAUACCAUUAAAAGUAUAUAUAUCAGGGGAAACAAUACUUUGGUCAAGAUCUUUAAACAAAGCAUUAACUUGAUUCACAUUUUGAGCUUGAGCAAAAGCUCUCAAAAGAAUAUUGUAAGUCACGACAUUAGGCUGACAUCGUUCCAUACCUUUCAUUUUCUCAAAGUAACUAAGAGCUUUGGACAAAGCCUUUGCUUUAUCCUUGGAGUGGAGGUGGGCAGUGAUCAGUGCAUUAUAAACUGAAGUGUCUGGCCGGCACCCACUAUUACGCAUCUCAGAGAAAAGCCACAUAGCCAUCCGAGUUUGACCUUUCUUCCCCAUAACUGAUAUCAACUUCGAAUAAACACCACUAUCAGGUAUAUACCAACGUUGUUUCUGCAUCCAUCUGAACACCUCAAGGCACUGAAGCCAUUUGUCACGCUUGCCAAGCUCUUCAAAAAGCAAAAAACAAUGUUCAGUCCUUAAUAUUCUCACAUACUUAUCCAUUGUCCGCACCAACGGCACUUUAUCAGUGAAACUCCUCAUGAGAACCCGAACCAACUCUUCGGCCUCCGAUUUCUCGCUGAUGGGAACCGCUUUCUUCUUGGGUCGCGUCGAGACGCAUGAGAUGUGGGUACGGCGGAGAUGUUUCUGCUGACUCCAUAGAAGAGUAGGAUUGAGAAUUUGCGAAAAGUGCUGGGUGAAGGAAGAAGAUUUGAGAGUGGUGAGUUGCAGAGAGUGUGGCGAUAGAUUCAGUGGCAUCUCUCGACGCUUUUUUGCAGAAGUGGGAGUGCG
rnacentral:misc_RNA from 1 species